rnacentral:rRNA from 1 species
AUUGAACGCUGGCGGCAUGCUUUACACAUGCAAGUCGAACGGUAACAGGGAGCUUGCUCCGCUGACGAGUGGCGAACGGGUGAGUAAUGCGUCGGAACGUGCCGAGUAGUGGGGGAUAACGCAUCGAAAGGUGUGCUAAUACCGCAUACGAACUGAGGUUGAAAGUGGGGGACCUUCGGGCCUCACGCUAUUCGAGCGGCCGACGUCUGAUUAGCUAGUUGGUGAGGUAAAGGCUCACCAAGGCGACGAUCAGUAGCGGGUCUGAGAGGAUGAUCCGCCACACUGGGACUGAGACACGGCCCAGACUCCUACGGGAGGCAGCAGUGGGGAAUUUUGGACAAUGGGCGAAAGCCUGAUCCAGCAAUGCCGCGUGUGUGAAGAAGGCCUUCGGGUUGUAAAGCACUUUUGUCCGGAAAGAAAUGGCUCUGGUUAAUACCUGGGGUCGAUGACGGUACCGGAAGAAUAAGGACCGGCUAACUACGUGCCAGCAGCCGCCGUAAAAC